UUUUCCCAUAACCCAGGGCGGGUUUGUGCCCUGCCCCGUUCCCAGCAGAGCUGGGGGCUCCUCUGGCCCUGCUCUGCUGCUGCCCCCCUGGCUCAGCUGCAGACCCACAGUUCCCCUCUGUGAGCAGGAGGUUCUACAGAGUUUAUGGCAACGGCCCCAAGCCCUUCGAGCUGACCCAGUUAAACUUCAAAUCCACUUGCCAGAGGUUUGUUGAGAAAUACAAUGAGCUGGAGAAAGAAGGGAAAAUUGAGGAGGAGAAACUGUUUGAAGAAACAGGAAAAGCCCUCUUGGCCAGUGGGAUCCUUCUGCAGAGGAGAGGAGUGGAUAGAGCCUCCAGGGACCCUGCCCUGCAGCUGCAGGAGAAGAGGAAGGACGGGGAGCAGCCACCAGAGCUGGCAGGGACACACAGGGAGGGUCCCUGUCCCUCCUGACAGCCCUGUCACCUGCCAGACCUCCC